CUACGGGGCGCUCCAGUGGGGAAUAUUGCACAAUGGAGGAAACUCUGAUGCAGCAACGCCGCGUGGAGGAUGACACUUUUCGGAGCGUAAACUCCUUUUAUAUAGGAAGAAGAUGACGGUACUAUAUGAAUAAGCGCCGGCUAACUCCGUGCCAGCAGCCGCGGUAAUACGGAGGGCGCAAGCGUUACUCGGAAUCACUGGGCGUAAAGAGCGUGUAGGCGGAUUAAAAAGUCAGAAGUGAAAUCCUAUAGCUUAACUAUAGAACUGCUUCUGAAACUCUUAAUCUAGAAUAUGGGAGAGGUAGAUGGAAUUUCUGGUGUAGGGGUAAAAUCCGUAGAGAUCAGAAGGAAUACCGAUUGCGAAGGCGAUCUACUAGAACAUUAUUGACGCUGAGACGCGAAAGCGUGGGGAGCAAACAGGAUUAGAUACCCUUGUAGUC
rnacentral:rRNA from 1 species